rnacentral:rRNA from 1 species
UACAGAGGGUGCGAGCGUUAAUCGGAAUUACUGGGCGUAAAGCGUGCGUAGACGGUUAUUUAAGUCGGAUGUGAAAGCCCCGGGCUCAACCUGGGAAUUGCAUUCGAGACUGAAUAGCUAGGGUACGGUAGAGGGAAGUGGAAUUUCCGGUGUAGCGGUGAAAUGCGUAGAUAUCGGAGGGAACAUCAGUGGCGAAAGCGACUUCCUGGACCAGUACCGACGUUCAGGCACGAAAGCGUGGGGAGCAAACAGG